rnacentral:rRNA from 1 species
UACAGAGGGUGCGAGCGUUAAUCGGAAUUACUGGGCGUAAAGCGCGCGUAGGCGGCUUUUCAAGUCGGAUGUGAAAUCCCCCGGGCUUAACCUGGGAACUGCAUUCGAGACUGUCUAGCUAGAGUAUGGGAGAGGGAAGUGGAAUUUCAGGUGUAGCGGUGAAAUGCGUAGAUAUCUGAAGGAACAUCAGUGGCGAAGGCGGGUCUCUGGGCCGUAACUGACGCUGAGGAGCGAAAGCGUGGGGAGCGAACAGG